UAGAAUUUAGUAUGUUGCUAAAGUGUUAGUUGUGACCAUCUCAUCCUUCUUUAUUAAUCCACGUAGAAGGAUGACUUUUGAUACAUACAACAUCGGUAUCGAUGUGGUCAGAGUAACUUAAUAUAGCUAUGUUCAAACCAAAAUAGCAUGUCAGACAUGAAAUGUUCCGUUGCCCCUACAUUCUCGCCGAUAAUUAAUUGUGCUUUAACAAAUAAAAAGGGGAAUAAUAUAAAGAAUUAUUAUGUUUGAAAGAGCAGGUGAGAAAGAUACACAGCCUUAGCGAUUUUUGCUCUUCUCCAUUUGGAUGUUUUCUUGUAAACCAUUGUGCCACCUUGGAGCCCUUCACUCCUAACGUCUGGCUAUAUGUUCAGGAAAAAAACAAAUAUAUAGCAAACAUAAAUAUUGGAAAUUAUAGCCUAUAUAAAAAAAGCAUAAAUUAGUUGUUAGCCUAGAAUGAAGAACAGAUGGAAACCUUAAAGCUAGCUACAUCAAGUACUUAAUAAUAAACAAACAGACUGAACUGAUCUACUCGGACGAAUGGCGGAGAGAAGUAAGCAGCUUGCCUAAACAAUCAAACCUCUGCAAUGGCAAUGUGUAGAAUUUAGUAUGUUGCUAAAGUGUUAGUUGUGACCAUCUCAUCCUUCUUUAUUAAUCCACGUAGAAGGAUGACUUUUGAUACAUACAACAUCGGUAUCGAUGUGGUCAGAGUAACUUACUUAAUAUAGCUAUGUUCAAACCAAAAUAGCAUGUCAGACAUGAAAUGUUCCGUUGCCCCUACAUUCUCGCCGAUAAUUAAUUGUGCUUUAACAAAUAAAAAGGGGAAUAAUAUAAAGAAUUAUUAUGUUUGAAAGAGCAGGUGAGAAAGAUACACAGCCUUAGCGAUUUUUGCUCUUCUCCAUUUGGAUGUUUUCUUGUAAACCAUUGUGCCACCUUGGAGCCCUUCACUCCUAACGUCUGGCUAUAUGUUCAGGAAAAAAACAAAUAUAUAGCAAACAUAAAUAUUGGAAAUUAUAGCCUAUAUAAAAAAAGCAUAAAUUAGUUGUUAGCCUAGAAUGAAGAACAGAUGGAAACCUUAAAGCUAGCUACAUCAAGUACUUAAUAAUAAACAAACAGACUGAACUGAUCUACUCGGACGAAUGGCGGAGAGAAGUAAGCAGCUUGCCUAAACAAUCAAACCUCUGCAAUGGUUAUUCGUGGAACUAUGGAAUUGUAUUCCUUUGUUGUUUACUAAUUGGAUUUCUUAUUGCCUAAAGAAGUUUGAUUGUUUUUGUUUACUUAGCUUUUCAAUCUAUAGCACAGCUAUAUAUGCUUUUCACAAUUCACAAAUGUUGGC
rnacentral:lncRNA from 1 species